ensembl:snRNA U2 U2 spliceosomal RNA
AUCGCUUCUCGGCCUUUUGGCUAAGAUCAAUUGUAGUAUAUAAUAUGCAUUUUUUUUUUUUUUUUGAUAGGCAGAGCUAGACAGUGAGAGAGAGACAGAGAGAAAGGUCUUCCUUCAUUGGUUCCCUC